CAGGCUUAACACAUGCAAGUUGAGGGGCACCAUGGUCUUAACUUGCUGAGGUCGAUGGCGACCGGCGCAGGGGUGAGUAACACGUAUCCAACCUGCCGUCUACUCUUGGACAGCCUUCUGAAAGGAAGAUUAGUACAAGAUGGCAUCAUGAGUCCGCAUGUUCACAUGAUUAAAGGUAUUCCGGUAUACGAUGGGGAUGCGUUCCAUUACAUAGUAGGCGGGGUAACGGCCCACCUAGUCUUCUAUGGAUAGGGGUUCUGAGAGGAAGGUCCCCCACAUUGAAACUGAGACACGGUCCAAACUCCUACGGCAGACACCAAUGAGGAAUAUUGGUCAAUGGGCGACAGCCUGAACCAACCAAGUAACGUGAAGGAUGACUGCCCUAUGGGUUGUAAACUUCUUUUAUAAAGGAAUAAAGUCGGGUAUGUAUGCCCGUUUGCAUGUACUUUAUGAAUAAAGAUCGGCUAACUCCGUGCCAGCAGCCGCGUAAAUACCGAGGAUCCGAGCGUUAUCCGGAUUUAUUGGGUUUAAAGGAAGCGUAGAUGGAUGUUUAAGUCAGUUGUGAAAGUUUGCGGCUCAACCGUAAAAUUGCAGUUGAUACUGGAUAUCUUGAGUGCAGUGUGAGGCAUGCGGAAUUCGUGGUGUAGCGGAGAAAUGCUUAUAUAUCACGAAUAACUCCAAUUGCGAAGGCAGCCUGCUAAGCUGCAACUGACAUUGAGGCUCGAAAGUGUGGGUAUCAAACAGGAUUAGAUACCCUGCUAGUCCACACGGUAAACGAUGAAUACUCGCUGUUUGCGAUAUACGGCAAGCGGACAAGCGAAAGCGUUAAGUAUUCCACCUGGGGAGUACGCCGGCUACGGUGAAACUCAAAGGAAUUGACCGGGGGCCCGCACAAGCGGAGGAACAUGUGGUUUAAUUGGAUGAUACGCGAGGAUCCUUACCUGGGCUUAAAUUGCAGAUGAAUUACGGUGAAAUUCGUAAGCAGCAAGGCAUCUGUGAAGGUGUUGCAUUGUUGUCGUCAGGUGGUGCCGUGAGGUGUGGGCUUAAGUGCCAUAACGAGUGUAACCUUUGUUGUCAGUUACUAACAGGUUUUGUUGAGGGCUCUGACAAGACUGCCAUGGUAAGAUGUGAGGAAGGUGGGGAUGACUGUCAAAUCAGCACGGCCUUUACGUCCGGGGCUACCCAUGUGUUGCAAUGGGGGGUACAGAGGGCCGCUGCCACGCGAGUGUAUGCCAAUCUCCAUAACCUCUGUCAGUUGGGAGUGGAGUGUGCAACCGGACUCCGAGAAGCUGGAUUUGGUAGUAAUCGCGCAUCAGCCGCGGCGCGGUGAAUACGUUCCCGGCCCUUGUACACACCGCCCGUCAAGCCAUGGCAGCCGGGGGUACGUGAAGUGCGUAACCGGGAGGAGCGCCCUAGGGUAAAACUGGUGACUGGGGC
rnacentral:rRNA from 1 species